UACAGAGGUCCCAAGCGUUGUUCGGAUUCAUUGGGCGUAAAGGGUGCGUAGGCGGCAUGGCAAGUCGGGUGUGAAAUCCCGGGGCUCAACCCCGGAACUGCACUCGAUACUGUCGUGCUCGAGUGUUGGAGAGGAGACUGGAAUUUACGGUGUAGCAGUGAAAUGCGUAGAUAUCGUAAGGAAGACCGGUGGUGAAAGCUAGUCUCUGGACAACUACUGACGCUGAGGCACGAAGGCCAGGGGAGCAAACGGG
rnacentral:rRNA from 1 species